AGCUAAAGGUAGAACAGGUAGUGAGUCCUGUCAAUUGUUUGCAGUCAGCUACAACUCGAACUCCUUGUUCUACUCUGUCCCCACUUCUCACUGCUGCACUUGACUAGUUAAAA
ensembl:misc_RNA Y_RNA Y RNA